rnacentral:rRNA from 1 species
CACGGGGGGAGCAAGCGUUGUUCGGAAUCACUGGGCGUAAAGGGCGUGUAGGCGGUCAAGUAAGUGGAAUGUGAAACGCCUCGGCUUACCCGAGGACCUGCAUCCCAAACUGCUUGGCUUGAGUAUGGGAGAGGAUGAGGGAAUUCCUGGUGUAGCGGUGAAAUGCGUAGAUAUCAGGAGGAACACCGGUGGCGAAAGCGCUCAUCUGGCCCAAUACUGACGCUGAGGCGCGAAAGCUAGGGGAGCAAACGGG